UCCGCCAGGGUACUACGAGCGCUAGCUUAAAACCCAAAGGACUUGACGGUGUCUCAGACCCACCUAGAGGAGCCUGUUCUAGAACCGAUAAUCCUCGUUAAACCUUACCACCCCUGGUUUUCCCCAGCCUAUAUACCGCCGUCGCAAGCUUACCCUGUGAAGGAUUAACAGUAAGCAAAAUGAGAUCAUCUCAAAACGUCAGGUCGAGGUGUAGCUUACGGGGUGGAAAGAAAUGGGCUACAUUUUCUGUAUCAGAAUAUACGAACAGGGUUAUGAAACUAACCCUAGAAGGUGGAUUUAGUAGUAAAAA
rnacentral:rRNA from 1 species